ensembl:lncRNA
GUUUGCAGUCAAUGCUCCAAGUUUUCCUGCAUCAUGUACUAUUGUAGGGCAAAUAGGGGACCAAAGCCAUUGAUGAUUUUAGAACAACAUGAGGAAAUAAUGUUACUGACAGCAAUAUUAUUAUAGGCUAUGUUAUACUAGUAAAUAAGACAAAGUCUAUCUUCAGGCCCUGCAAGUGACACGGUACAUUUCCUUAUACAGGUAAGCUGACUUUCUGCAUCCGUCUGGCCUUCCUGUCCAUUGGUACAAUCUCUGUCGCGUGCUACCCCUCGCAGCAUGCUGGGGAUACUGCUUGUUGGCUAGGAUACAGACUGCCGAGUCAUGCCAGACAGCAAUGCGCUCUUUUGCACGUUUUUAUUAAUAAUUGUUCUUCCAAAGUCAAGCAAAACCAACGGAAUUCCAAGUUAGUAAAGGAAGAAGAAGCACUACAAAUGAGACUACAUCAGGUACUCGCACAGUGCUCUGUAGGAAGAUCUGAAGCAAGUGAGCGCAGCGGAGGGCCUGCCGAUUUGGGGCUUCUUGGGUAA